UACGGGGGGGGUAAGCGUUGUUCGGAAUUACUGGGCGUAAAGCGCACGUAGGCGGAUCGAUCAGUCAGGGGUGAAAUCCCAGGGCUCAACCCUGGAACUGCCUUUGAUACUGUCGAUCUGGAGUAUGGAAGAGGUGAGUGGAAUUCCGAGUGUAGAGGUGAAAUUCGUAGAUAUUCGGAGGAACACCAGUGGCGAAGGCGGCUCACUGGUCCAUUACUGACGCUGAGGUGCGAAAGCGUGGGGAGCAAACAGG
rnacentral:rRNA from 1 species